ensembl:lncRNA
GGUCACCACCAAAAAGUGGUAUGGAGGAGAGAAAGCAGUUCUAAUUAGACCUAAAAUUUCUUCUAACCAAGAUGCCCCACUGAGAGAUUUGGGGUGCUCAAGGUUUCCUCUCCCUUUUGCCAUGCAAUUAGGGGCAAGGAGUUGCUGCCAAGCCAGGUGACACCCACAGUUCACACGGCUCAGGAAGCAGUCUGUCCUCUGCCUGCACCUCCUGGGGUUACCGAUGAACCACUUUAACACCCUCCCUUCUACACCAGCAUUCCCACCCAUCACUCACGGGCCGACUGCAUGAGGAACUUCCCUGCUUGCCUGGAGGCUGUUUUUAGCAGGGCACAUUUGCUACUCAAAUAAAGUAAAUGCUUAAAAAAAAGUAAUAAUAAAUUAAAAACCUGUAGCUCAGCUCCUGACGAGUUUAAAAUCGGGCAGGUUGAUUAUAAGCUGUCACAGUACACGUUCAUGAAAUUCUGACAGCAGGGCACCAAGGGUUCUGCACCAAGCUGUCAGACCUUCCACUCCACCUGAACUCUAAACCUUGAUCAGCUGCUGCUGCUGAGGUUGUGGUGAGCUCCCCAGCUGAAGGCAGGCUCACUGCCAGCAGAACGUGUUGGGACUGGGGAUGCCAUUCGGAGUUUGGCUGUGGCUGCACUCUGUGUUUUACUGAGCUCUGCAAGUUCUGUGCUUUGGGGGGCCGUCCCGUGGCUCUUUGGAGGUCUGAAAAUCCCCUGUGCAGGAAAAGCUUUCUGCAGCAUCACUGGGAAGUAGUUCAGGAAGAUAAAGCUCAAACUCCAGUCUUCGUUGGGGAACUUACUAAUCCAUGUGUUGGGAAAUGCUGAGUCACAGCUUGAAGUGAUGGAGCAGCUGGUGGGAAGGCAGGGCCAGCCCAGCGAAGCUCAGGUGCGAGCAAUGCAGCUGAGUGACCAGAAGGGGUGGAGCCAGGAUGCACCCCUUACAGACCUCAUUUAAGGGCUGGCAGUGGAAGUAGGAUUUGUAUCUUGCUGGAGAUGCCUGCAUGCUUAAGGCCUUCUGAAGUGGGAUGAGAGCGCACAGGGUUGGUGCCCGUGGCACUGCUGGACUCGGAGCUGCAGAACCACCAUGUCCUCUCUCCUUAUCAUCCUCCACAUGCUCCUUUUUGGGUAUUUUGCAGCACUUUGAGGCUGGGAGAAGUGGUGCAGCAGCAAUGACAACCAGGACAUUGUCCCCUUGGGACAUGCAUUGAGCGAGACCCGGCUGCCUGCCUUAGCCCUUGAAAGGAAGGGGUGAAGGAAAAUGGGAAAAGGAGAAGGUGGGAAGGAGAACGAGAGAGAAAAAUGAAUUGCUUAAAACUUCUAUUACUCUUCAUUACCUUCUGCUUUAUAAAUUCGAAGUCAAACCUGGGGGCUCCAGACCCCGAAAGAAUGGAAGGGAAACGUUCCCUGCCUGCCCCGCCAACCAGCUCGUUAAACUCCAGCCCUCCUGCUGCUCUCCAGUGAUUUAUGGAGAAUCAAAGCUAAAGCCCCACUUGUCUGCAGAUGGGAUGUUUGGAUUCGAGGUGUUGUUUCAAAGAAAAGUGAUGGAUCAGAACCUGGAGACCAGGUCCAGCCCAGUCCCCAGCAGCAGCCCUGACCUCUUCUCCACCACCUCCAUCCUCUGCAGGUCCCUCAACCUACUCAGCACCUUAUUUUGAAGGGAAGGAGGCUCUUAUCUGACCCGCGCUUCACAUUUCAAGGCCGCCACGAGCCUUGGGCUCAUAUUUUUCACACGUCCUAAAACAUCAUCCCUCCCCCGGCACAAACGUGCAUACAUUCCUUAUGGUCUGCUUCCCCUCAGGGCCCCACAGGCCUGAAGAGAUGAUAAAAUUUCUGUAAAGUAGGUGUUUGAGGCAUUUCCUAGCAGUUCGUGACCCCGCUGAAACCCCUGCGAGGAACGCAGUAGGAUGCUUCACAUAACUCUGAAAAAGGAUGUUUUGGAGCUAAUUGCUUCCAAACCAUCCAAGUGAUGAGAAAUCCAGUGCUACCAGCAGCUCAU